CGUGCAUUUUUAACGCAUUCAAUAAAUCUUCAUACAUUUUGUACCCACUAACUCAUAACUUACGUAUACUGCAAACAGAUAUUGUACAAUACAUACGUGCAUAUGUAUGUGGAUAGGUAUGCAAGUAAGAAAUAAAUAUUUCGGCAUUUCUUAUGGCUCAAUCCAUAUAUGAAUACGUGCCAGUUUUAUUAAUGAUCGUGGGAAGGGAAUGCGCGAUGACGAUUCGCAGAAGUGAAGCUCUCAAGCACGCUGGCUAAGUGCAGAAACACCUAUGCACGCAUUCGAGUGCCGUACCCUGCACAUAAAUCUAAUUUACUUCAAUAGUGCCAUAAAGAAAAACAAUGUUUUUUAAUAAAUGCGCUCUAGAAAGGCUUGUUGUUGUUGUUGUAGCAGCAUAAAUAUUCCCCAUACAUAUAUAGGAAAUGUUGUUGAAGUGACAGUCCUUGGCCGGAUAUAAAUCCGGGUCGCUCCGCUUACGUAGAACCAACUGUCGUGUGAAGAAAGGCUCUUCAUUUAUGCUGUGCAAAAAAUAAUUUUCAACUACUCUGCGCGCAUCCACGAAAUAUAUUCUCAAUUAUGUGGAAAUUUUACUUUGCAGCAAGCGGUUAAUGAACCAACGGAGCGAGCUUGUGCGUGAUAAUCAUUCAGUUAAUACCAGUUAAUGCCAAACCUCUGAGUACUUUUCUGACGUCAACCAGCUUCGCAAAUAAAUCCAUUUGCCGUUCGCAGGUGGCAUGGAACUGUCGGAAUGCGCGUCACAAAAUGCAGGAAAGGCACGGCCAAAUACCUAAACAAAGGUCAACUUGGUAAAAUACUUAAAAGUACUACUGCUCUCUAU